GUGUUUAAGGUAGUAAACUUGUGUUUAAGGUAGUAAACUGGUGUUUAAGGUAGUAAACUCGUGUUUAAGGUAGUAAACUCGUGUUUAAGGUAGGAAACUUGUGUCUAAGGUAGUAAACUCGUGUUUAAGGUAGUAAACUCGUGUUUAAGGUAGUAAACUCCCAAAGAACAUCUUCAUACACCGUAAACUCUUAUCCAAGGUUAUUUAGAGUCCCAAACACUUCCUAAGGCAUGGAAUCAACCCUAGAACCUUCCCGUGUGCAUUGUAUCACCAUUUGGCAUCCAAGAACCCACCAUCCAUGACUUUACGGCCGUAAACUCAUGGGAAUAUGGUCAAUGAACCAUGAACACCUCAAGGAGUUUACUCUUGAAGAGUAAACUCCAUAUCUAGGCCCUACACAUCCAUAGAUGUCCCCCGGGUCACUCCGAACACUUGAAUUGAAGUGUUUUCACGCCUCAAAGUGUAUAAUCAUAUCUAAUUAGUGAUUUAAAGUCUAAUUAGAUACAUUUGUAUCUCAUUUCAUAUUUCAUAGGAACCUCGCGCGUUAUCAUGCCCCGAUCCGACACUUAGCAUCCUAGACGACACGUUCUUCGACUGGUGAGUUCAUACCCCUACCCUUUUUCCGUGUUUUCAAUGUUUUCAGGGGGGGAAUACAAGCAAACUAUAAAUGUUUUCAAAACCUAAAACUGAUGUGCUUCUAUAAAUAUCUGGCUAACUUUUAGAUAUCUUUACCCCUUUAUGUAUUAAGCUGAGCAUAAAGGAUGUUUUAUUGAUUAUAACUACAUGUAUUUCAGUAAAGGAAACAAUCCAAUCAAUCAAAUUAUUAUGGGAAUAAUUUGGGAUCUUUAGUUCUUAUUUAACGAGCACAGAUUUAUGUAAAGCUUUUAGAUAAACUAUGUCUGAUUCAGUUUAUCUCUGUUUAACUUAGAAUAUAUUGCCAGAUAAUUGUAUUGUAUUUAACUGUUUUCACUGUGUUAUGUUUCAAAACGAUUAGUAUGUUUGAUAACGUCUGAAAACACCGUGAAUCAUUAAAUACUAGCUUGUGAGAUUCGUCAUUACCCUUUGGGUUAUUAGUAAAUCCUCCUUGGAAGUGUAACCAGAGUCUCCAGGAGGGAGAGCGUGGAAUUUGAGAAUAGAUCUAUUCGGGACUG
rnacentral:lncRNA from 1 species